CAAAGGGAGCAGAAGGGAAAGAGGAGCAGAGACAGGGAAAUGAUUAACCAGGAAGUGAGUGAAUGAGAGAUGCAAGAAAUGAACCCGGGAUGGGCACAAGCCAAAGAGAACCUGUGGGGUAUGAUUUCACUAGUCAAAUCCUCCUGGUCUUAUUUAAACACUAAGAUCCAGCCUUCCUGUCAUCCAUCUGACAGAGUGAACAUUUAGAAGACACAAUGCUGCGUUGGGAGAUGCUGGCCGCCUUGCUGUUUCUGACUGGUAUCAGAAGUGGAGCCACAUUUGGACUUGGCGACUUCGCAAAUAGCAUCUUGGGUGGGAGUUCUGCAAAACCAGAGCCCAUGUAUUUGAUUCUGAAAGUUGACUUCAGUUCUUCUGGCACAACUAACAUUUCUCAGAUUCAGCCAUUCAUCUUGAAUGAGGUGACAAACAUGCUGGCCACAGGCUUUCCUCCAGGGUCCUUCCUGCUGAAUUGGGUCGCCUACGAACAAUAGCAAGAACUAAGAAUAUCUCUACUAGUCUGAUUCCCCUGAUAGUCCAGAGUUGUAGCUCUGAUGGCACCUGGACAACUUCCAAGAAGAGAAGAGGGAGAAAAAUGGGUGAAUGGCCAGGCGCCCUUCCAGUACCUCAAAAACACACCUGUUUCGACAGGCUUUUGAGUUCUGUUGUUGAUGUUUUAAAAGGUGCUUUUAGGAUGUUUUUAAAGAUAUUUUUAAGAUGUUUUUUAAAGAUGUUUUAAAGAUGUUUUUAAAUUGUUGAUUUUAGCCGGUUCUUGUAAGCCGCUCCGAGCCCUAGGGGAGUGGCGGCAUAUAAGUUUGAAAAAUAAAUAAAUAAAAUAAAUAAAAAACGAUUCUUCAUUGCUCUUUUCAUCCUGGUCGGGAGGGUGGGGGAAAUAUUACUUGCAAUGCCUCUGAAAUAUUGCUCUGUCCCUGAUGAAUACGUUAGUAAGUAAACUUACACAAGUAAUUUGUUACACAAGUAAUGCACA